UGAGGAAUAUUGGUCAAUGGGCGCAAGCCUGAACCAGCCAUGCCGCGUGAAGGAUGAAGGCCCUAUGGGUUGUAAACUUCUUUUGUACGGGACGAAACCCCUGAACGUGUUCGGGGCUGACGGUACUGUACGAAUAAGCAUCGGCUAACUCCGUGCCAGCAGCCGCGGUAAUACGGAGGAUGCAAGCGUUAUCCGGAUUCAUUGGGUUUAAAGGGUGCGUAGGCGGGAUAGCAAGUCAGUGGUGAAAGCCUACAGCUUAACUGUAGAACUGCCAUUGAUACUGUUAUUCUUGAGUACAGUUGAAGUAGGUGGAAUGUGUGGUGUAGCGGUGAAAUGCUUAGAUAUCACACAGAACGCCGAUUGCGAAGGCAGCUUACUAAGCUGUUACUGACGCUGAGGC
rnacentral:rRNA from 1 species